GCCUUGUUUUUAAGGCAGAGCUAUGUCGCUGGCCAAAACACGAUUUCACCCUUUGUAUGCCAUGAAAAACUCUUUUCAGAGCUAAUGCUUUCUGUAAAUCUGGGAUCAGUGUUUCUCCAGUUCCUCACUCCUGACUACUCUUUUCUUGUCCUCUGUGGCCAAAAUUGCAUUUGUUGCUUUCAGGUGCAUUGCUGCUCUGAUUUACAUGUAAUGAGGUUGAAUAUUCCAGUAAAAAUUUGAAGCCCUAUUGAAAAUCUCCCUUUUUAAAGGGAUUUUUGAGAUUUAGCACUUGUCACCCAUCAACAUUAUGGCUCUUUUCAAAGGACCUGCAAAAUGUUGGGACCCAUCCAUCUGGAGAAGACGGAACUGUGGCAUGUUGGCAGGUCCUGCCCCUGGAGAACAGUGAAGUGCUGCAGAACUUCCUUCCCCGAGGUACCCGUGGCCUCCCCUGCCAUCUGUCUGCUCCGUGCCAGGAGCUGGGGCUGCUUCCUCGCUGGAAUUCCAUGGAGGAGCCGCUUCCCGCGGAGCUCUGGCUGCCCUGGUAUCUCCAGCACUUAAAAGAAAUGUCAGAGAGCCUGCGAGGAUUAGAACUGAGAGCGCUCUGUGUGCUGUGCUUUUCUCCGAGGUGACUUUUCCCCGCAUCACUCGGAGGCGCUGGCUGCCCGCCUCACCCCAUCCUCCGCAGACAGGAGCUGUUUGCCACCUGCUGAACCUUCAUCCCUUCCAGCUGGGCUUUUAUGGAUGAGCUGGGCUCUGCUGGCUCCAGCCUGAAGAGGGGCACAUCUUUACCCCGCCAGGUAAAAGAGAUGUUGGGAGGGAAUGACUCCAUCUCCUCAGCCAGCUGUGCCCUCGCCGCAGCUGGAGCGGGGCUCGGACCCGCUCCCGUUGAACAUUAACUGUAUCCCUGCCUGCGUGCACUGGAGCUGGGCUGACAGCAGCGACAAAGAGCUGGCAGGGCUGAAAGAUUCAAUUUAACUUUCUUUCUCCUCCCCCGCUUCCAUAUGCGAGGGCACACAGCGCUGUUCCUGCUUUUGAAACUUGCGGGGCAAAGGAGCAUUGGUGUCCUCAUUUUCCUUCCUCCCUAUUGAUGUAUCAUUGCCAGGAUGAAAAAGGACGUCUCAAGAGCUUUUGAAAAAAUGGGUGACUACUCAAGACAUUUUAUAAAGGAGGAAGAAUGGGAGAGAAAAUAGGACUCGGUAGGGGGUAGAAGGAGCCUGAAUGUGUGCCUUGUCUGUCUAUUCUUUCGCUUGAAACCUGGAGCUGUUGUUCCUAUUUCAGUUCAAACUGUCACCUUUAGUUCAUGAUGGCUUUACUGCCCUUGCUCCUGAACCUCAACAGAUUGGGGCUUAUUUACCUAUUCACACUCUGCUGUGGAACCUCAUUAAUAGGCUUAUUAGCCACACCAUUCACGUGCAGGAGGGCUCACAGAAAGGAUCCCAGCCACUUUGAGAGGAGGAGGAAAAAACUGUAAAGAGAUUAUGCUCUCAUUCAGCAGCCUAACUGCUAUGAAAGGCUCCCUGGGCCCACUGAGAUCUCUUGAAGCCUAAAUAUGAUGACAGAAUUGAUCCUCCCCCCCCCCACCCCUUUAAUUCCAAACAUGCUUCUGCUUUUCUCAGGUUGAGGAGCUGGGCUGUUGUGGGCCACUUUAGGAGAAUGCGGCUCAUUUAAGAGAAAAGGCUGCUAUUGAUAGACUGCUAUCUUUUCAUCCUCCAAAAGAAUAAAUUCUGACAAGUGCUUCCA
rnacentral:lncRNA from 1 species